rnacentral:tRNA from 1 species
AGUGCUACGCCGGGUGAACGGGCUACAUUGAUGUUGUAGAUGAUAAGAAAUUUUUCUUUGGCACUU